GACGAACGCUGGCGGCGUGCCUAAUACAUGCAAGUUGAGCGCUGAAGGUUGGUACUUGUACCAACUGGAUGAGCAGCGAACGGGUGAGUAACGCGUGGGGAAUCUGCCUUUGAGCGGGGGACAACAUUUGGAAACGAAUGCUGAUACCGCAUAAAAACUUUAAACACAAGUUUUAAGUUUGAAAGAUGCAAUUGCAUCACUCAAAGAUGAUCCCGCGUUGUAUUAGCUAGUUGGUGAGGUAAAGGCUCACCAAGGCGAUGAUACGUAGCCGACCUGAGAGGGUGAUCGGCCACAUUGGGACUGAGACACGGCCCAAACUCCUACGGGAGGCAGCAGUAGGGAAUCUUCGGCAAUGGACGAAAGUCUGACCGAGCAACGCCGCGUGAGUGAAGAAGGUUUUCGGAUCGUAAAACUCUGUUGGUAGAGAAGAACGUUGGUGAGAGUGGAAAGCUCAUCAAGUGACGGUAACUACCCAGAAAGGGACGGCUAACUACGUG
rnacentral:rRNA from 1 species